GGGUUGUGAGGUUAAGCGACUAAGCGUACACGGUGGAUGCCCUGGCAGUCAGAGGCGAUGAAGGGCGUGCUAAUCUGCGAUAAGCGCCGGUAAGGUGAUAUGAACCGUUAUAACCGGCGAUACCCGAAUGGGGAAACCCAGUGUGACUCGUCACACUAUCAUUAACUGAAUCCAUAGGUUAAUGAGGCGAACCGGGGGAACUGAAACAUCUAAGUACCCGAGGAAAAGAAAUCAACCGAGAUUCCCCAGUAGCGGCGAGCGAACGGGGAGGAGCCCAGAGCCUGAAUCAGCAUGUGUGUUAGUGGAAGCGUCUGGAAAGGCGCGCGAUACAGGGUGACAGCCCCGUACACAAAAGCGCAUGUGCUGUGAGCUCGAUGAGUAGGGCGGGACACGUGGUAUCCUGUCUGAAUAUGGGGGGACCAUCCUCCAAGGCUAAAUACUCCUGACUGACCGAUAGUGAACCAGUACCGUGAGGGAAAGGCGAAAAGAACCCGGCGAGGGGAGUGAAAAAGAACCUGAAACCGUGUACGUACAAGCAGUGGGAGCACAGGUUUACCUGUGUGACUGCGUACCUUUUGUAUAAUGGGUCAGCGACUUAUAUUCUGUAGCAAGGUUAACCGAAUAGGGGAGCCGGAGGGAAACCGAGUCUUAAUUGGGCGUUAAGUUGCAGGGUAUAGACCCGAAACCCGGUGAUCUAGCCAUGGGCAGGUUGAAGGUUGGGUAACACUAACUGGAGGACCGAACCGACUAAUGUUGAAAAAUUAGCGGAUGACCUGUGGCUGGGGGUGAAAGGCCAAUCAAACCGGGAGAUAGCUGGUUCUCCCCGAAAGCUAUUUAGGUAGCGCCUCGUGAAUUCAUCUCCGGGGUAGAGCACUGUUUCGGCUAGGGGGCCAUCCCGGCUUACCAACCCGAUGCAAACUGCGAAUACCGGAGAAUGUUAUCACGGGAGACACACGGCGGGUGCUAACGUCCGUCGUGAAGAGGGAAACAACCCAGACCGCCAGCUAAGGUCCCAAAGUCAUGGUUAAGUGGGAAACGAUGUGGGAAGGCCCAGACAGCCAGGAUGUUGGCUUAGAAGCAGCCAUCAUUUAAAGAAAGCGUAAUAGCUCACUGGUCGAGUCGGCCUGCGCGGAAGAUGUAACGGGGCUAAACCAUGCACCGAAGCUGCGGCAGCGACGCUGAUGCGUUGUUGGGUAGGGGAGCGUUCUGUAAGCCUGCGAAGGUGGCCUGUGAGGGUUGCUGGAGGUAUCAGAAGUGCGAAUGCUGACAUAAGUAACGAUAAAGCGGGUGAAAAGCCCGCUCGCCGGAAGACCAAGGGUUCCUGUCCAACGUUAAUCGGGGCAGGGUGAGUCGACCCCUAAGGCGAGGCCGAAAGGCGUAGUCGAUGGGAAACGGGUUAAUAUUCCCGUACUUGGUGUUACUGCGAAGGGGGGACGGAGAAGGCUAUGUUGGCCGGGCGACGGUUGUCCCGGUUUAAGCGUGUAGGUGUGUGUUCCAGGUAAAUCCGGUUCACUUUAACACUGAGGCGUGAUGACGAGGCACUACGGUGCUGAAGCAACAAAUGCCCUGCUUCCAGGAAAAGCCUCUAAGCAUCAGGUAACAUCAAAUCGUACCCCAAACCGACACAGGUGGUCAGGUAGAGAAUACCAAGGCGCUUGAGAGAACUCGGGUGAAGGAACUAGGCAAAAUGGUGCCGUAACUUCGGGAGAAGGCACGCUGACACGUAGGUGAAGUGAUUUACUCAUGGAGCUGAAGUCAGUCGAAGAUACCAGCUGGCUGCAACUGUUUAUUAAAAACACAGCACUGUGCAAACACGAAAGUGGACGUAUACGGUGUGACGCCUGCCCGGUGCCGGAAGGUUAAUUGAUGGGGUCAGCGCAAGCGAAGCUCCUGAUCGAAGCCCCGGUAAACGGCGGCCGUAACUAUAACGGUCCUAAGGUAGCGAAAUUCCUUGUCGGGUAAGUUCCGACCUGCACGAAUGGCGUAAUGAUGGCCAGGCUGUCUCCACCCGAGACUCAGUGAAAUUGAACUCGCUGUGAAGAUGCAGUGUACCCGCGGCAAGACGGAAAGACCCCGUGAACCUUUACUAUAGCUUGACACUGAACAUUGAGCCUUGAUGUGUAGGAUAGGUGGGAGGCUUUGAAGUGUGGACGCCAGUCUGCAUGGAGCCGACCUUGAAAUACCACCCUUUAAUGUUUGAUGUUCUAACGUGGACCCGUGAUCCGGGUUGCGGACAGUGUCUGGUGGGUAGUUUGACUGGGGCGGUCUCCUCCUAAAGAGUAACGGAGGAGCACGAAGGUUGGCUAAUCCUGGUCGGACAUCAGGAGGUUAGUGCAAUGGCAUAAGCCAGCUUGACUGCGAGCGUGACGGCGCGAGCAGGUGCGAAAGCAGGUCAUAGUGAUCCGGUGGUUCUGAAUGGAAGGGCCAUCGCUCAACGGAUAAAAGGUACUCCGGGGAUAACAGGCUGAUACCGCCCAAGAGUUCAUAUCGACGGCGGUGUUUGGCACCUCGAUGUCGGCUCAUCACAUCCUGGGGCUGAAGUAGGUCCCAAGGGUAUGGCUGUUCGCCAUUUAAAGUGGUACGCGAGCUGGGUUUAGAACGUCGUGAGACAGUUCGGUCCCUAUCUGCCGUGGGCGCUGGAGAACUGAGGGGGGCUGCUCCUAGUACGAGAGGACCGGAGUGGACGCAUCACUGGUGUUCGGGUUGUCAUGCCAAUGGCACUGCCCGGUAGCUAAAUGCGGAAGAGAUAAGUGCUGAAAGCAUCUAAGCACGAAACUUGCCCCGAGAUGAGUUCUCCCUGAGACUUAGAGUCUCCUGAAGGAACGUUGAAGACGACGACGUUGAUAGGCCGGGUGUGUAAGCGCAGCGAUGCGUUGAGCUAACCGGUACUAAUGAACCGUGAGGCUUAACCUUACAACGCCGAAG
rnacentral:rRNA from 2 species